rnacentral:rRNA from 1 species
UGGGGAAUAUUGCACAAUGGGCGAAAGCCUGAUGCAGCAACGCCGCGUGAGUGAUGAAGGUCUUCGGAUUGUAAAGCUCUGUCUUUUGGGACGAUAAUGACGGUACCAAAGGAGGAAGCCACGGCUAACUACGUGCCAGCAGCCGCGGUAAUACGUAGGUGGCGAGCGUUGUCCGGAUUUACUGGGCGUAAAGGGUGCGUAGGCGGAUGUUUAAGUGAGAUGUGAAAUACCCGGGCUUAACUUGGGUGCUGCAUUUCAAACUGGAUAUCUAGAGUGCAGGAGAGGAGAAUGGAAUUCCUAGUGUAGCGGUGAAAUGCGUAGAGAUUAGGGAGAACACCAGUGGCGAAGGCGAUUCUCUGGACUGUAACUGACGCUGAGGCACGAAAGCGUGGGUAGCAAACAGGAUUAGAUACCCUGGUAG